UUAAAUAAACGAGUUAUGAUUUCCGUGUGGAAUCGGCCGCAGAUAGAUUCUAUAAGGUUCUUAAAAUUAAAUGCUGUUUUUCAGUUUAUAAAUAUUGAUUGGCUUUUGUUUGGGCGGUUAAGAACGCUGACGAGCCGCUUAGUGACGUCACCGAAACUCCUCCCUCUUGCGCGGGAAAAGCUCUCUGCAUGUUAUGGCCCGGGGUUCCCUGUGCGUGUAUGUCUGCCCUUUUUGGAGAAUAUGGGUGAUGGGGCUGGGGAACCCAGGUCAGAACUGCAAGAGCUGCAGUUCAAGUCCAACCAAGCCACAGAUGAAACCUUGGAAUCCACCCGUCGUAUGUUGUCGCUAUGCGAAGAGGCCCAAGACUCUGGUGCUAAAACUUUAUAUAUGCUAGGAGAACAAGGGGAGCAACUGGAUCGAAUUGAGGAGGGUAUGGACCAGAUCAAUGCCGAUAUGAAGGAAGCUGAGAAGAAUUUGACGGGAAUGGAGAAAUGCUGCGGUCUGUGUGUCUUGCCUUGCAACAAGUCAUCACAGUUUAAAGAAGAUGAAUCCACUUGGAAGGGCAAAGAAGAUGGUGUAGUGAAUUCUCAACCCCAGCGUGUUAUGGAUGACCGAAAUGGCUUAGGGGCAGCUGGUGGAUAUAUUGGACGCAUUACGAAUGAAGCUCGUGAAGAUGAAAUGGAAGAAAAUAUGGGCCAAGUGAACACCAUGAUUGGUAACCUGCGAAACAUGGCUCUUGACAUGGGCUCUGAGAUAGAGAACCAGAAUAGACAAAUUACCAGAAUCAACGCAAAGGCAGAUUCCAACGUCACCCAUGUUAAGGAGGCUAAUGAGAAAGCAGGCAAACUUCUCAAGUCGUAAAGCAAAAGCAAUGCCUCCAUGUUUUCUCAUGAUCAUAAUUACACGAAAUGGCGGAGUCAAACACUAUGAGAGUAAACAUGGCCAACGAGAGGGCUGGAUCUCUUUUAAAGAAUGCAUAAGAACAUUCACUGCCUUCACCACUUCCACAAAAUCAAGAAGCAUCCAGGGCCAGAACCCCAGAAGCUGGAUGAUUUUCUUGAGGAAAAGGCAGUGUUUAAUGUACCAAUUAUUGUAGCUCCUUGACUAAUUCGUAAUUAUAGUUCUCAUAUAUCAUUUAAAGCUGCAAGUGAUCAGUUUCUAUUAUGAUAGGAAAAUCUAAAGUGAAUGUAAAUCUCACAGAUAUUUCCCAGUUGUAUUGGGCAUGACUUUUAAAAAUUGUACAUAAUUUUUUUAGAUAAAAGUUCACUACAUUUUCUGGCCUCGACAGUAGGUGGAAAUCCAUACUGUAUAUUCUCAUAGGUAAAAUGCUGGCCCUUUGCUUAUGAGAAAUACAAUGUUAUCUUGACCUGUAGAAAAUUUAAGCUUGUUUUGUUAUUGUUACAUACCAUUUGUUAAUUUUGUAGGCAUAGAAGACAUCAUCCAAUUCAUUGAAAUACAAAAAGCAUCAUCAUUUCUUUGAGUCAAGCAUUUGGAAGUCAUUUUAAGUCUCCUUACUUAGGUUCAUUCAUCAUAUGAUAUUGCACCAAAAUUAUAACUAUUUAAACUAUUUAUUUGGUGGUUUUAAGUACAUGAGCAUCUCCAAUUCUCUUAAGGCAUAAUCCACUAUUCAGAUAGUAUUUACUGUUUCUGGAUCAGAUAUUCAUCUAUAUAUCUCUGUAGUUGUGAAUUGUAUUCAGUCUCAAAUGUUAGUGCCAAGAUGACACUGUAACAUUGCUGAUCUACUGAAUAUUCUUACAGCUAUAAAUCUUCAGACCAGUCUAGUAACCUCUUUAUCAAAUAUAGAUAAGAUUACCAAUGCCAAGCCUGCAGUACUCAGUACUAUUAUAAGAGGAAGAUUUUGUUUCUUUUUGAGAAUCUUCUGCGGGAUAUUUAAUUAGGCUUGUAUUGAUUUUCUCAUCUGGAAUACAUCAGACCUAAUGUAGUAGUUGCUGUUUGGCCCAGUAUAUAGAGUUAAAACUAACCACAAGUUGUGUGUUUUUGCCUUAGACAGAAUCAUAUCUGUGGCUUGCUUAUUCCCCUUACUUACUCUUGCAAGGAAGGGGAUUUCCAGUUCCAAACCUGCAUUAUGUAUGUCCUGAGUAAGGAUUUUACUCAGUUUACCUCUGACUGCUGUAUCUCUCAUCCCAUACAAGUACUUGGUCAUUCUGGUGAUUUGUAUGUUUAUUACUUGUCAUCUUGGAACUUGAGGUUCUUAUGCACUUGUUAAAACAAUGAGUACAUCUUACUACAAAACUGAACUCCUUGGAACUGAAGAUCCCCUUGUGUUAUUUCCCACUGAGCAUUUUGGCAAGAUGGAUUAGAUGCUAAAGCAUUUCUUCGUUUUGAAUUUUGAUAACUAGGAGCAGAAUUUGAACAUUUUUAUAUAUGAAGAAGUAGAGAGGGGUUAGGGAAGUGCAAAGCAGUUAAAAAUUUGAUAUUAAAAGUAUCAAAAUUUGUUGUGAGGCCUUACAAUAAAUUCCAAACAAAAGUACAUAUACUGGAUUUACUUUGGCAAACAAUUAAUAUUACUUCGUAGGACUUGACAGUGCUUUGCUCAGACAUUUACAUUAUUUUGCAUUCUUUAAAUUGUUAAAAAUAAAAGAAAAUAUUGAUACAAUACUGAAUAGUUUAACCUUGUUAAAACAAAAACUGAUCCAAUUUGAUAUAGUAUGUAUGGGCUGUUGUGGAAAUUAUUUGAAUCUGAAUCAUGUGUUUGUUACAAAAUAUUAGAUGUAAGUUUUUGAUUAAAACUGGUUACAGUCAGCUUAGUGUACUAGUUCUUUGAGCUCAUUCUUUUUCAUAGAAAGUUGAAUUUGAUAAAGUUUCAAUGCCUCAUUUAUGAUGUACUUAGUCAUGUGCAUUGUUUGAGAGUAUGCCAAAUAGUUCAAUACAGGUAUGUAAGUUUUGAAAAGUGGAAGCCUUCCUUUAUCAAAAAUUUACUAUAAAAGAUCAUUUCAGGCUCAGACAUGGUUUCUGUCACUUAAUAACUUGGUGGUAAUACAUUACCCAAAUGUCAGUUGUUGAAAUUACCUGUAUCAUUUAAUAAAGACAAUAUUGCACAUUUCAUUUGUUAGGGUAAUACUAUAAGGUUGUACCCUUAGCAAAUCUAGGCCUGAGGCCAACAUCUCUUGAUAGUAGGGUUACUCAAAUAGCUAUAGCCUUUAUUAGGCUCAGAGGUCAUGGUAAACUAAUCCUUUAUAAUAAUAAUAAAAUAAUAAUACUCAAAUAGCUAGGAGUGUUAUGAAAAGUAAAUCCAAAAUUUAGGUAGAACAUUUUUACUACUUGCAUGUACAAAUUGGAGCUUGUAUAUUCAUCAAUACCUAGGUAAUGUAUUUUUUAGAAAAUAUUGAUAUUAUCAGUAAUGUUACUCAAAAUUGUCCUUUGUUUCUUUUAAAAAAUUAAGUGGAACAUAGUUAUUGUUGAGCAAAACGUUAUGGCUGAUAGAAUUUAAAACUACAGAAAUGAGUUGAAGUUUCUCAUAUUGGCUUGCAUAGAUUUGCUAAGGCAACUGCCUUAAAUUGUUGGUAUGUAUUAUUAUCAUUAUUCAGAAAAUGUUUUUGAAGAUUUCUGUGUGUGCCCAUUAAUGAGGCAGUUAUGCUCAAUCAUGCUGUGCUCAACUCAAUAAUCUUUUGGGCCAAAUAAAAUAUUGGUAUAUUUUCAGAUCAUCUGUUCUUGAAUCUUAAAUUUUACAUUGUUAUCUUAAAACUAUCAGUAUUAGGGCUACUGAAUGCAGAUAAACUCAUGGACUUUCAAAUGUUUAUGUAAUGGUUAAGAUUGGUGUAGAUUUUGUACAAGCAGGUGUUUCCUCACCGUGACACAUGGUUGUAAGCUGUGAUAUUCUCUUUUGGUUUAAUCAUGCAAAUAACAGAUUCAUGUGUUAGGUCAUAUCAAAACUAAUGAAAGUGUUGAUGUUUUCGUAGGACAUUUUCAUAGUACUACUUUUUGCAUGGCAUUUUGGGUAGGCACCAAAUAAAUUGUGUUUUUGUAUUUUCUUUCCUCCUUUAGCAGAUAAGUCCACAGCUAAUUCAAGUCAAAUUAACAGGUCAUAGUAAAGUGGUAUAAAGGCUAAUAAGAAAUGCUCCACAAAUUUGCAUGCCUUGGUACACCUAAAGUUUUUGAAGAAUGAUUUGUUGCAGUGCUAGAUUGUUGUCGUUGCAACUUUAUAUAUCUUAUUCACAUGCCACCUAUAUUGAUUUAACUGACACUGGUUUAUGGUGAAUAAGAGAAAGGUAGUUUGUUAACUAGGAGGUGGCAUUUAAAGAUAGUACUUCAAGGAUAUAACAUUUCAGAUUGCAGUGGAAGAACCAAGAGUUCCAUGUGCAUUACCAGAAAUUAAGAGAAAUUCCCCCAAUUCGAUGUUCAUUCAAAGAGCAUGUGGCAACAGAUGGUUAUGAACAUGAAUCUUGUCUCCUCCUGUGAACUGUAUAAUAAUCCUUGAAAGUUUUGUAGGUCCAGGGUUAAAUGCAGUUGUAAAUGACCGUUUACAAAUGUAGAGUAUACCCUGCUAUUUUGACUGGAGAUGCCUUUUCAAAGUGAGUAUAAAAUCCUAUGGUUUAGCGUAGGAGUGAAAUAUCCACAGCACAAUAUGGUGGCAUAUCUAGUAUUUAGCUUUAGAUCUUCAUGUCUUUUCUAUUGUGAUUUGUGUCUUAGUGGUUUGUAAUAUGCAGAGAAGGCCCACCCAAUUUUUCCGUGUCACUUCUCUGUGUUGGUUCAUCCCCAAAGAGUGGAAGGGAACUCCUUCAGGGAGUAGCGAAGCAGUCAUAUUUUUUCUUUUUAUACAGUGAAAAUUCAAACAUGAGUGUUUUGAUGGCUGUGCAGAAAAAAUUUGGUUGCUUGACAGUCUGCCAUCUUAAGUUCUCCAUGUUAUGAAUGCAAAUUUUUUGUAUUAAGGACAAGUUCAUACUGCAGAACAUUGAACAGAAAUGGACUGUUUAUUCCAAGCAUAGCCAGAUCACCUUUUUGUUGUGCAUAAUAAAGAAUAAGGUCCCCACAAAUGGAUGGUUAGGGUAACCCUGCAUUGCCUUCACAAUCCUCAUAAUGCUAUUCCAGGACUGCUUCUUCCCCUACACUUCAUUAAUUUUACUCUGUGCUCCCCUCUGGAAUUUUUUUGUGAAUAGCUCUUAGCAUCUUUUGUAGUUUAGAUAGUUUGAUUAUAAACUUAUUUCAGACAGUGAUCUGAUGAACCAGAAGGGAAAUGCAAAAAUUUAGGUGACUAUACUGGUAUUGAGCAUUCCACAUGUCAAAGGGUGUCUACAUUUUCUGUGCACUUCAAUAGAUCUAUUUUUCUUUUGUACAUGGAAGUUGAUAGUGUGGGGAUUGAAUCAUUAAGUAUUAUUUUAUACUGGGCUCCAGGAUUAAAUGAGUAUUUCAUCAAGUAAAUUCAGCUAUGCAGAUGAUCUUUGGUGUUGUUUAUAUAAUUGACUGCAUUACAAUAAUGUGCACAUGAGAAAUGAUGAAUUGGUAAAUGGGAAUUAAAUUCAUUGUGAUUUUUCCUGUUUUCUCAUAGGGGAGCAUUUGUUAUAGUAAAUACGUAUCAUUUAAUAAAUAUGUAAACCAGU